GUCAGCUAUUACUUCAAUGUUUUCAUCCCCCGACAACUGAGCUUACAGAAUAGAUCAUCCAAUAAGUCGGUCAAUAUUAGUGAUGAUAUUGCUGAUGACAUUAAUGACAUGUACAUGCACAAACGAAGUGAAGGGCAGAAACCUGAGGGUGGGAAAAGUCAAUACCUACGUCGGCUAAUUUAGUCUCUGGUAUACAAUUACAGGUUUGGGAUUACUGAAGGAUUUGCUUCGUAGCAUGAUGGCUUACAGCGUUCUUGCUUACCUCCUCCAGGAAUUUUGAUGGGAGCGUGUUCCUUUCCGUACAAGUAUGAAACUUUAAUUAUGUUAAUAUUAGUCGCUAAAGGUCAUUU
rnacentral:misc_RNA from 1 species